ACGCUGGCGGCGUGCCUAAUACAUGCAAGUAGAACGCUGAAGAGAGGAGCUUGCUCUUCUUGGAUGAGUUGCGAACGGGUGAGUAACGCGUAGGUAACCUGCCUUGUAGCGGGGGAUAACUAUUGGAAACGAUAGCUAAUACCGCAUAACAAUGGAUGACACAUGUCAUUUAUUUGAAAGGGGCAAUUGCUCCACUACAAGAUGGACCUGCGUUGUAUUAGCUAGUAGGUGAGGUAACGGCUCACCUAGGCGACGAUACAUAGCCGACCUGAGAGGGUGAUCGGCCACACUGGGACUGAGACACGGCCCAGACUCCUACGGGAGGCAGCAGUAGGGAAUCUUCGGCAAUGGGGGCAACCCUGACCGAGCAACGCCGCGUGAGUGAAGAAGGUUUUCGGAUCGUAAAGCUCUGUUGUAAGUCAAGAACGAGUGUGAGAGUGGAAAGUUCACACUGUGACGGUAGCUUACCAGAAAGGGACGGCUAACUACGUGCCAGCAGCCGCGGUAAUACGUAGGUCCCGAGCGUUGUCCGGAUUUAUUGGGCGUAAAGCGAGCGCAGGCGGUUUGAUAAGUCUGAAGUUAAAGGCUGUGGCUCAACCAUAGUUCGCUUUGGAAACUGUCAAACUUGAGUGCAGAAGGGGAGAGUGGAAUUCCAUGUGUAGCGGUGAAAUGCGUAGAUAUAUGGAGGAACACCGGUGGCGAAAGCGGCUCUCUGGUCUGUAACUGACGCUGAGGCUCGAAAGCGUGGGGAGCGAACAGGAUUAGAUACCCUGGUAGUCCACGCCGUAAACGAUGAGUGCUAGGUGUUGGAUCCUUUCCGGGAUUCAGUGCCGCAGCUAACGCAUUAAGCACUCCGCCUGGGGAGUACGACCGCAAGGUUGAAACUCAAAGGAAUUGACGGGGGCCCGCACAAGCGGUGGAGCAU
rnacentral:rRNA from 1 species